rnacentral:rRNA from 1 species
UACGGAGGGUCCAAGCGUUAUCCGGAAUCAUUGGGUUUAAAGGGUCCGUAGGCGGUUUUGUAAGUCAGUGGUGAAAGCCCAUCGCUCAACGGUGGAACGGCCAUUGAUACUGCAAGACUUGAAUUAUUAGGAAGUAACUAGAGUAUGUAGUGUAGCGGUGAAAUGCUUAGAGAUUACAUGGAAUACCAAUUGCGAAGGCAGGUUACUACUAAUGGAUUGACGCUGAUGGACGAAAGCGUGGGGAGCGAACAGG